GUCAAUCAACAGGUGGCUGGGAAUGUCAUGGAGGAGAGGGAAAGCAAUGUGAUGUGGUAAAGGGGAGAGUGCAAACGCAGUCCCCCAUAACCACAAAUUAUGCAGUCAAGAUUUUCAUGUUUGAGGAAAUCGCAGGGGUUAGCACACCUGGAGUGCAAUGGCUAAGACUUGCCCUGAGAAAACCACCUUCGUGAUCAUGGUAUCUCCCCCUCCAGCAGGACCAUGAGAUAACAGCAAGGACAGGAGCAGAAACCAGACGGAGCCUUGGCGAGACCUUGCACCUGAGACCUUGCAUAAAGCCCCCACAGCUCACGUGCCCCUCCCCCCUGCUUUUCAUUUCCCACCCUCCAUACCCUCAACCCCUCUUUUA